rnacentral:misc_RNA from 1 species
GGGAUUGAGAAUUUUCGCUUUCUUUGUUUAGGGUUUCGUUGUCUGUUAAAUUUGAGAGAUACAUCUUUUGCACUCAUAAUUGAAUAUGGGAAAAUUGCUGCUUUAUUGAACUUGAUUUUUUAUAGCAGUGAGAGCAUUCAUUUAACAGUUAUAGACUUCAUGAGGGGAAAUCAAUUGGCCUUGAAGAUUUAUUUUUGGGAAUUAUAUGAAAAUAUUGAUACUCUUUGAGAAGAUGUGACUCACAGUUAUGAGAACGAAGUUAGGGGAAAAAAAUGCUUUGCAAGGCAUUGAGGCUGCUCAAAACUAGUAUUUGCGGAAAUAUGGGCACUCAUUUGCAAUAAGACUAGAAGCUGAAAUAAAUUUUAGGGCUUGUUAACCGCUUGAAAGCUUCAGUAGAAUAUUAUAUGGACUAUGUUGACAUUCUUGCCUAAUUAGACUCCUGUAAUCAUGUGUGAUAUUACUAGGAUGUGUAAAAUAGCCUAGAAAUCUGUAUAUUCCUAUUUUGUAAUCCACUUUGAAGCUAUAUAGAUCCCAAUUAGCUGAGGGAAUAAUUAAGCUCUAAAAUUCUUCCCAAAUAUUCUUCUAUUUCUCUGUUCUUCUUCCUUUCUCACGGGAUAAUUGGAGGUGUACAAGCUUUUUAAGUUCAAUUCUUCAGUUCCAAUUUGCAUCAGUUCUCAGUUGAUAGGUUACAAUUUCAUUUAUAAAAUUAGUUUGGAACUUGCUUGUGGGUUGUAUUCUGCUGAAUGGAUAUAUUUUCAUGCAUUGGACUUUCAUUAAAAGGUUUCUCAAAUAAUCAUCUCCAUGGGUGGCUUUGCUUAAUUAGGUAGUGUAGCUUAUUGAUUCUUUUAUGUUUUGAUUAGAAGACAACAGAAUAUGGCCUUCAGAAAGAGUUUUGUUGGGUUUAUAGAAUAUAUUACUCAAAUUAUCUACCUGGUGAUAUGGUAGCUAACAAUUGAAAAUUCUCUACUCCUAAAAUGCAUUAAGGAGGUCUGAUCAAUGGAGCUGCCUCAUUAUUUUUAUAGUUAACAACGUUCUAUAACUUAGCUCAUUACUUUGUCAAACACAUUUUUAUGGACUUUAUGAUCUUCAAGUGUUAUUAUUCUGGGAAUUAUAUGGAAAUUACUUGACAAUUGUAAGUUCUUGUAAUUUAUGAAGAGUGCUUUUUUAUAUAUGAUUUUGGGAUUUCACUUCUUAAAAUAACUGCUAAACUCACCAGUCUUGUUCAUGAGUAUAUUUUUAGGCCCAGGUUGAAGCUUAAAACAAUUUAGAAUAUUAAAUAAUUUGACAAUGAGGCAGUGAGACACAAGCACGCUGCACAACUAUAAAUGCGUAUAGGCCACAAUAAUCAAAAGCCUCUUUGUGUUGACAUAGUUUGUGUGUGUGUGUGUGUGAAAAUGUUGUGAAUAUAUAUACUGCUUCCAUUUUCUUCUUAUAGGAAGCAAACACCACAUAUGUGAAUGGUUUCUUAUUUAGGCAUGUCAAAAUGCAGAGCAUUGGAAACAUGUCAGAUGUUCUAUGUUUGCUUUCAACCGAUUUUAACUAUAGUUCUACCUACAGGGUACCACUCUUGCAGUUGCUGGCGGAGGUAGUGCAUCAGUCAAGCUUUGGGACACUGCUACAUGGAAACUGAUUGCCUCCCUAUCUAUUCCUCGUCCAGAAGGACCCAAGCCUUCAGAUAAGAAUAGCAGUAAGAAGUUUGUCUUGUCAGUUGCAUGGAGUCCUGAUGGGAAAAGGCUUGCUUGUGGCUCGAUGGAUGGCACUAUUUCUGUUUUUGAUGUAGCUCGAGCAAAAUUUCUACAUCAUCUGGAAGGUCAUUUCAUGCCUGUGCGCUCUCUUGUGUAUUCUCCUAUAGAUCCUCGGGUGCUCUUCUCUGGAUCAGAUGAUGCUCAUGUGCACAUGUAUGAUGCCGAGGGGAAAAGCCUGGUUACAGCAAUGUCAGGUCAUGCAAGCUGGGUAUUAAGUGUUGAUGCAAGCCCUGAUGGGGCUGCUAUUGCAACAGGCUCAAGUGAUAGAACCGUGAGGCUAUGGGAUCUCAACAUGAGGGCUGCUGUGCAGACAAUGAGUAAUCAUGCAGACCAGGUCUGGGGAGUGGCAUUUCGGCCACCUGGAGGGACUGGUGUCCGUGCUGGUCGGCUAGCUAGUGUAUCAGAUGACAAAAGUAUAUCACUUUAUGAUUACUCCUGAGCAUACAUGGUAUGUUGGGUGUAAAAACAUCAAGCACCUGUUUCUGUUACAACUUACAAGAUUCACUGCUGCUUUUUUUGUUAUUUAUCAAACUGAACUCAGAGAAAUGUUUGGUUGUAGAUUCUUUUAUCUUACAUUUAAUUUGUCUUUGCUUGAUGAUAUGGUGAACUGAAGAGGCAGAUCUGAGAUUUAUUCUUUACCAUUUCCCAUUGUUUGGGAGGGGCUAAAAAUUAAGGGGAAGAGUAAGGAUGGAAAAUAAGAGAUUACGUAAGGAUGGAAAAUAAGAGAUUAC